rnacentral:misc_RNA from 1 species
UUUUAUCUCUCGCUAUUUAGUGUUUUUUUUUUUUUUGUCUUCAAGAGAUUUAUUAGUUUUAAUUAAACUUACAUUAGGUACAAGCUUAAUCCUACAGUCAGUGCUCACUCUGUAGUUCUACCGAAGUCUCUAGAUUAAUGUCAUACCAUAAACUAUAAACUGUAGACAAUAUUUAACCAUCGACUAACAUGUAUAUAACAUCCUUCCCUUUUACAUUAUUUACUUGAGAUUAAUUUAUAAUGAACUACACUGACUUUUGUACUUACUCUAGGAACAUUAAAGUUUACAAUUCAAGUUACUUUUCAAGCUAAGUAAUUACUAACAAACAUAUUCACAUUAUUACAUAUGAACCAAACUAUAACUAUAUAUAAUAUAAUAUAACAAAAGUUAUUAUAAAAACAAUUUUUAUUAAUGUUAGCUUUAUAUAAACAAGGUAUGAAGACUUAUUUUAUUUUGUUUUUAGUUACAAUUAGUUAUAUGAAGAUACAAACUUAUUAAAUUAUUCAGUAUUCAUGUACUUAUGAAUUAAACAAAAUCUUUAAGAUAACUUGGUCUUUUAAUCAAUCUACCUGAUCUUGAUGUUUUACUACCAUAUGUAUCAUUAUUAUAAUUUACUUGUCCUGAAGAACCAUCAUAGUUCUCUCUAGGUAUUACAUUAUUUUGUAUGUUCCGAUCUUGAAUCAUAUGUCUUUCUACUUCUUGUCUUUCACUCUCUUCACAAUUUCCUUGAUCUUCUACCCUGCUCUUGUCAUAAUACUUUCCUCCUUUAAUUAACAUUCUCCUAUUCCUAGUUAAAAUAUUUCCUGAUUCAUUCCUUACUUGAUAUGAUCUAGGACCACUUCCUUUACCUAACACUAUACCACUCUCAUGAGGUUUCUUGCAAUUCUCGUCCUGUAUUUUAACAAUUUCUCCUUCUCUUAAUUCUGGUAAAUUUCUACUUCCUCUAUUAUAGUACUUUUUCUGAAUUUCCUGUUUAUUUAAAAGUUCUUGUCUAUAUUUAUCCUUUCUUUCCUGUUUUAAAUCUAAUUUUGGCAAAAUUGUUUUAAUUUUUCUAUUGAAUAAUAAUUCUGAAGGUGAUUUUCCAUCUGUGUUUACAGGAGUGUUUCUAUACAUUAACAAACCUAAGCAAAUAUCUUUCUUAUCAUAAAUUAGCUUUUUUAACAAUUUCUUAACAGUCUGUAUAUAUCUUUCAGCUAAUCCAUUCCCUUGGUGAUGUUUUGGACUUAUUACCUUAUGUUUAAAAUUCCAUUCUUUAGAAAAAGUUUUAAAUUCAAAGCUAGUAAAUUGGGUUCCUGCAUCUGUAUAAACUAUAUCUGGAAUACCAUGUCUUGCUAGGAUUUCUUUAAUACUGUCAAUAGUACUUGUUGCAUAUAAAUUAUUUAAUGGUUGUAUUUCCACGUACUUACUAUAUGCAUCGACAAGCAAUAUGUAUGGUUUAGAAUAUAGAAAAAAUAUGUCUAUAGAUAAAAUUUCCCAUGGUCUUUGUGGAAUUUCCUUCUCAAUCAUAGAUUCUUUCUUAUUAGCAUUCUGAAAACUUUUACAAGUGUCACAAUUUUGUAUCAAAUCUUCUAUCUCUUUAUUCAUAUUUGGCCAAAAUACAGUAUUUCUUGCUAACACCUUGCUUUUUUCUAUGCCUAAGUGUGCAUAAUGUAUGUUUUCUAAUACUUCCUUUCUUUUUGACUGUGGUAUUACUAUAUUCCUACCUUUUACAAUUAAUCCUCUAAUAUUACUCAACUCAUCUCGGUAACUAUAAAAAAUUUUAGCUUUACUAUCUAUAAGUGACUUAUUUUCUGGCCAUCCUUCCAUUAUAUAUUUAUUUACUGCCAUUAAUUCCUCAUCUUUUGCUGUUUCUAAUAUUAAUUCUUCAAGUUUUUUAUCUGAUAUUCUAUAACUUUCCAUAAUCAUGGCUACAUGUGUUUCUACUUUUAAAUCUGAAUUUUCUUCUGUUUCUAGUAAAUGUGAUCUACUCAAAUGAUCUGCUACCAAAAUUUCUUUACCUGGUUUAUAAUUUAACUCAAAUGAAUAUGGUUGUAAAGCCAUUCUCAUCUUUUGCAAUCUAGCUGGACAUCUAUUUAAUGGUUUAGAAAAAAUUGAUACUAGUGGCCUAUGAUCUGUCUCUACUUUAAAUUGAUUUCCAUACAAAUACUGAUGAAACUUGGUUAUUCCAUAUAAAAUUGCUAAACAUUCUUUCUCAAUCUGACUGUAUUGUAUUUCUGUUUCUGUCAUUGCCCUCGAACCAUAAGCUAUAGGCUUUCCUUCUUGUAAAAUAACUGCACCUAAUCCUGCUUUAGAAGCAUCUACACUUAGUACUAUCUGUUUAUUCAUAUCAAAAUAACUCAAAACUGGUGGCUCAAUUAAUAGUUUUUUCAAAGUCUUAUAAGCUUUAUCUUGUUCUUUUGACCACAAAAAAGGUACAUCUUUCUUAAUCAAUUGCCUCAAUGGUGCUGUUAUCUCAGACACAUUGGGAAUAAAUCUUGCCACAUAAUUAAUCAUUCCUAAAAAUCUUAAUAUUUCUUUCUGAGUUUUCGGUUCUUUCAUCUCUACUAUAGCUUUUAUUCUGUUCUGAUCUAUCUUAAUUCCUUCUGUUGUUAAGACAUGUCCUAGGUAUUUAACUUCUUUCUUUUUAAAAUUACACUUCUUCCUAUUAAAUUUUAUAUUAUAUUCCUGUGCUUUCUUAAGUACCUGUUCUAAUAUUCUGUCAUGUUCUGCUUCUGUUUUCGCGUGAAUUAAAAUAUCAUCAAUAUAUAACUCUACUCCGUCAAUAUCUUUAAAUAUUUCACUAAAUAUUCUGUGAAAAACUUCUGGACUUGAAGCUAAACCAAAAGGUAAUCUAUUAAAAUAAAAUCUUCCAAAUGGGGUAUUAAAUGUUGUUAAAUUUUUACUAUUUUUUGUUAAUUUUAUCAUCCAAAAUCCUUUAUUCGCAUCUAAGGUACUAAAAUAAUUACUUCCCUUUAACUUUGCUAUUAUUUCAUCAACAUUAGGUAUCAUCAUUUGUUCUCUUUUAAUCUGAGUAUUUAAAUAUUGUGGAUCUAAACAAAUUCUCAUUGCCCCACCUGGUUUAGUUGUCAUAACUAAUGAACUUACAAAAUCUGUAGGACCUUCUGCCUUACUUAUUAUUCCUAUUUUUUCUAAUUUACUUAAUUCUUCCUUUAAUUUAUCUUUCAAUUUAAAUGGUAUAUGCCUAUUUCUUUCAAUUUUUCCUUGCCAACCUUCUUUUAACUGAAUAUCAUAUUCAUAAUCUUUUAUUUCACCUAUCCCCUUGAAAACAUCUUUAUAUUUCUCUAAUAGUUCUAACUUUUCCGUCUGUACACUGCUAAUAUUCUCAUUAUUUGUUCUCUGAAUCAAUUUAAAUUUUAUUAAAGUAGGCAAACCUAAAAUAGGUAUAUAAUUACCUUUACAAACCUGGAAUUCUAUUUUCUGAAUCUGAUCAUUUAUUUUUACUGAUAAUUUAAUCUUUCCCAAAGUUUCUAUUUUCUCAUUACUAUAACUAGUCAAUUUACAAUUAGAUUUUUCAAAUUUACUUAUACCUAACCUGUAACAAUCAUUUGCAGAUAUUACAUUGCAUUGAGCACCUGAAUCUAAUUUGAAUUUUAAAUUUCUAUUCAAUUCGGUGAAAUAUACAUACUCAUACCAGUUUCUUUCUAAAUUAACAUUACUAAUAUUAAUUAUAUACAUAUGACACGACUCACUAUCGCUGGACUCGCUUUCUUGAAUAGCUUUUACAGCAUCUCGGGCUCUGCAUUUUCUCGCAAAGUGGUUCAUCUUCCCGCAUUUCAUACACUUCUUUCCAUAUGCUGGGCAUCUUCUUUCACUGUGAUGAAAUCCGCAUCUCGAACAGUCAAACUUCUUCUCAGCUCGCUGUCCUUCUUGUUUCUUAUUCUUCUCUGAAUAUCUAUUUUCUGUAUUUCUCUGUUCUAGUCUGUGUCUUGAAUCUCGGUCUGUUCUGGUAUGUCUUCUCUUAUCUGUUGGGUUUCUUGUUUCCCUUUCCGACACUGUUCCUUUUUCAUUCUUCUUUCUUAUACUCUGUACUGCACUCGUCCCUGGUUCGUUUGAAAUUUUCUUAAUUUGUUCCUCUGCUAGUUCUGCUGCUUUACAUAUCUGGAUUGCUUUACUUAAUGUCAGGUCACUUUCUCUUAGUAGUCUAUCUUUUAAUCUUUUAUCUAAAAUUCCUGUUACUAUUCUGUCUUUUAACAUUCUAUCCAAAAGAUUUCCAAAUUCACAUUCUGUGCUUAACUUUUUUAUGUCAGUAUAAAAACUAUCAAAAGUUUCACCUUCUUUCUGGUUUCUUGUGAAAAACAAAUGUGAAUUAACGCUUUCAUUUUUUCUCGGGAUAAAAUACUCGUUGAAUUUAGUUAUUACUUUUUCAUAAUUGUAGGCCUCACCUUUAGCAAAGUCGAAAGUAGCAUGAAUGUCUUGAGCUUCCUCACCCAUGCAGUGUAAUAAUAAUGCCGUCUGGACCUCACUGGAUUCACUAUUAGCACCUGACGCUAAUCUGUAUAUUUCAAAUCUCUGGAUAAAUUUUUUGUAUUCUUCCAUCGACAGGUUUUUUAAGCCCGUAGGGGGUUUUAAUCCCUUUAUUCCAUUAGAUUUUAUUAUUUCUUUUUGUGCAGACUCCGCCAUUUUGUUCUUAUCAUGUACGUCGUAGAAUUCAAUAUAGUAUACAAUUAUUUUAUUUCACGAACCUGUUUUUGUUUUUAAUUUCGCAGCGCCAUGUUAUGUGUUUAUUAAAUUAAACAUCCUUAGUGUCUUCAAGAGAUUUAUUAGUUUUAAUUAAACUUACAUUAGGUACAAGCUUAAUCCUACAGUCAGUGCUCACUCUGUAGUUCUACCGAAGUCUCUAGAUUAAUGUCAUACCAUAAACUAUAAACUGUAGACAAUAUUUAACCAUCGACUAACAUGUAUAUAACAAACACAGUUCCAGUACCACCUUGGAACUUAAAAAGCCGACCGAUGGCGGGAUAACCAUCCAACUACUGGCAAUGAAAUACACAGGUCGUAGACGGGC